rnacentral:pre_miRNA from 10 species
CCGGCUCUUGCCUGGUGGUGUUAAUAUCUCACUGGGGCCUCCAAAUAUUGUACCUGAGUGAGUUAGAGAAAACAACACACUUUGAGAUGAAUUAAGAUUCUGUUUAUUU